GGUUAACAAGUGACAGCUGUAGAUUCACUGAGUUUGAUAGGUGAAAAUUAUGCUCAAUAUUGCCAUAAAGCUUUUGAGAGCAACACCACGUCACAAUCCCCCCUUUUUGGACAACCAGAUGGUACAUCCCAGUCUAUCCUGCUCCCUUCUCACUCCCCUCCCUCUUGCUCUCAGUGUCCUCCAUCUCUCUGCUGUCGCUCAUUUUCCCUAUAUUAAGGACAUCUUAACUUUGGGAGUUCUGCCUCCUCCUCAUCCAUUUAUCCAUUUAGUCCUCUAAUCUCAGCCCAGCUGUUUGAAAGUGAAGCAGCACAAAGCUGACUUUAUAAAGACUCUUCCGGACCCCGACCACACCUGUGUCCCUGAAUCCAUGGAGGCCAAGGCCAAGGCCGGGGCUUCAGCGCCCAAGGCAGCGUCCAAAGCAGAGAAGAAGGAGCCGGCGGCACCACGCAAGGCUGAUCCUGCUCCUGCGACCCCCGAGCCCGAGAACCCCCCUCCGUCCCAGGAUGGAGCAGCAGAAGCUGAGUCAGCAGGUGAAAAGGCCCCCGGUAGAGACUCUCUGGAACACCUGAAGCCCUUUCUCAUCGGUGGUGCCGUUAUCGCGGCAGGAGCCAUUUUGCUGGGAGUGAUGCUGCUGGCGAGGAGAAAUUAAACAAAACAAAUUUAAAAUGGGAAUACUAUUGACUGGUUCACAGACUUUUCUGGUUUGAUGGGCGAUGGGGAGACACAGCAGUCUGUGCUUUUUUCAUCUUUGUUUUUCCUGUUUAGAGGUUUUCUUUUGGCCUGCUUCCACGUGUAUAGUGUAUCAACCUAUGUAACGUUUGAUCAAGGCUUUAUAUGGAGAAUAACUAUACUUGGUAUACGCAUGAAGUUGCUAUAAUACUGCAUUUAAAAUGUAAUUAGAAUAUAUAAAAAAGGAAAAAAAAAACAUAUACUGCAUUGCAUAGCCACCUGCACUCUCUAAACCCAGUUGAAUCCAAUACUUUUCCACUUUGUACAAAUAUUGGUAGAGCAUUUCAAUAUUCAGUCAUUGUUGCAGUUUAUUCUGCUCAAAAGUGCUGAAACAAAAAACAUAUUCUGUUUAUCAAUAAUGUCCCUGGGCUGUCUGGAGUUGGAAGAAGGAGAGUGAAGCUUCUGGACGGUGAAUGUUCUGCGUGUUUUGGCCAAAGUAACCGCUAGGUAUGGGUCUGUGCUCUAGCGGUUUGGGGCUGAAAACAUGCAUAGUGCAUUUAAAAGCAGUGUGUGCUAAGAGUGUUAACAACUUUCUGAUGAGAUAAAGAUCCGAUUUAGUUUGUCGUCCAGAAGCAAACCCACAUAUUUUGAUAUUUUGGCUGAUCCUCUGACGUCAUCAGUGCCCUUUCUGGGCUAAGAUUUUUCACUGCUAAGAUCAGCAAAAUAAUACACUCAGUAUUAUUGCUCUAACAACCAAGAAUUACUAAACUUAUGUUUGAGAAUAAGAACAUAUGAGCAUGACUUAGCUAAGGAAAGAAAAUGCUUUUUGGACUAAAAUACAUUUUGCUUAGGGAAGAUGUAUAUCUUACUGUCAAAUAAUAUCAAAAAUCAAUAACCUUUUACAUAUGUCUAAACACAAACAGUUCUGAUAUUUAAAUCUGUUUACAUCAACAUACGACAAUAUAACAUAUGUGGGUUACAUUCAACAGAACGGCCGCUGCCAAAAUAUCAAAGUUGUUUUUGGCUUUCCUCUGCUCUUCUCAUGUUCUCACAUGCACAAACCAUAAAAAUGACAUAAGAGUAUCUUACAUUUACCGGAGCAUGAAAGUGAUGUGUAUAGUUGCUGUCAUAAAUCACUCAAAGGGGGAGAAAAAAAACACACACACACACAUUUGUUGCUGCAUAAAUUAAUCUGUACAGAUGUUCACAGUAAUUUCUGCUUUCAUUGUAUAACUCAUCAAGUAGACUGACUAUAAAGUAGAAAGUUAGUUCCUACACGUACACACACAUUUAGUCUUUAGUUUUAAUAAAUUAAACACAGUUUAGACCAAAAAGAUAUAUAUAUAAAAAAAAACAUUCAACAUUCACCACAACUUCUCUACUAUGAUCAGAAGAUAGUAUGCCACCGAAAAAAACGUCACCUUACAUUGUACUAUGCAGUGUAUUAAAAAAAUAAAAAAUAAAGUAGUAGAAGAAGAAAAUUCCUAUUUUCAUAAUUUCAAAAGCGUAUAAAUGCAAUAAUUCAGGUAGGAGUUCUCAUUUAGCAUAUGUGCUGUAGCAGAUUAAAUUACAUAGAUGAUGUAAUAAUGUAUGAUGUUACUGAUGGCCACAAUAGUGAUGAUAAUUAUCAUGGUGACUGUAAUGAUGAUAAUGAUGGAUAUGAUAUAUAUUUUUUAUAUUCUUUAACAUAUUUUCCUUAUGCACCCUCCCCUCUGCUCUCAACCAUCUAAGUGUAAAGAAAAGAUCUUGAAAACCAGCUUUAUUAAAGACAGUGAACCAGACGAA